rnacentral:rRNA from 1 species
ACGGGUGAGUAACGCGUAGGAAUAUGCCUUAAGGUGGGGGACAACUUGGGGAAACUCAAGCUAAUACCGCAUAAUCUCUUUGGAGAAAAGCUAGGGACCUUCGGGCCUGGCGCUUUAAGAUUAGCCUGCGUACGAUUAGCUAGUUGGUAGGGUAAAGGCCUACCAAGGCGACGAUCGUUAGCUGGUCUGAGAGGAUGACCAGCCACACUGGAACUGAGACACGGUCCAGACUCCUACGGGAGGCAGCAGUGGGGAAUAUUGGACAAUGGGGGCAACCCUGAUCCAGCAAUGCCGCGUGUGUGAAGAAGGCCUGAGGGUUGUAAAGCACUUUCAGUGGGGAGGAGGAUUGCCAGGUUAAGAGCUAGGUAAUUGGACGUUACCCACAGAAGAAGCACCGGCUAACUCCGUGCCAGCAGCCGCGGUAAUACGGAGGGUGCGAGCGUUAAUCGGAAUUACUGGGCGUAAAGGGUUCGUAGGUGGUUAAUUAAGGUAUCUGUGAAAUCCCCGGGCUCAACCUGGGCAGGUCAGAUAAUACUGGUUAACUCGAGUAUGGGAGAGGGUAGUGGAAUUUCCGGUGU